rnacentral:rRNA from 1 species
UGUGUAGGCGGCUCCUUAAGUUUGGUGUGAAAUCUCCCGGCUCAACUGGGAGGGUGCGCCGAAUACUGAGGGGCUAGAGUGCGGGAGAGGAGAGUGGAAUUCCUGGUGUAGCGGUGAAAUGCGUAGAUAUCAGGAGGAACACCGGUGGUGUAGACGGCUCUCUGGACCGUAACUGACGCUGAGACACGAAAGCGUGGGUAGCAAACAGGAUUAGAUACCCUGGUAGUCCACGCCCUAAACGAUGCAUAUUUGGUGUGGGUCAUUCAGUUGAUCUGUGCCGGAGCUAACGCGUUAAAUAUGCCGCCUGGGGAGUACAGUCGCAAGGCUGAA